rnacentral:rRNA from 1 species
AUUGAACGCUGGCGGCAGGCCUAACACAUGCAAGUCGAACGGUAACAGGAAGAAGCUUGCUUCUUUGCUGACGAGUGGCGGACGGGUGAGUAAUGUCUGGGAAACUGCCUGAUGGAGGGGGAUAACUACUGGAAACGGUAGCUAAUACCGCAUAACGUCGCAAGACCAAAGAGGGGGACCUUCGGGCCUCUUGCCAUCGGAUGUGCCCAGAUGGGAUUAGCUAGUAGGUGGGGUAACGGCUCACCUAGGCGACGAUCCCUAGCUGGUCCGAGAGGAGGACCCGCCACCCUGGAACUGAGACACGGUCCCGACUCCUACGGGGGGCCGCAGUGGGGAAUAUUGCACCAUGGGCGCAAGCCUGAUGCAGCCAUGCCGCGUGUAUGAAGAAGGCCUUCGGGUUGUAAAGUACUUUCAGCGGGGAGGAAGGGAGUAAAGUUAAUACCUUUGCUCAUUGACGUUACCCGCAGAAGAAGCACCGGCUAACUCCGUG